rnacentral:rRNA from 1 species
GACGAACGCUGGCGGCGUGCCUAAUACAUGCAAGUAGAACGCACAGUUUAUACCGUAGCUUGCUACACCAUAGACUGUGAGUUGCGAACGGGUGAGUAACGCGUAGGUAACCUGCCUGGUAGCGGGGGAUAACUAUUGGAAACGAUAGCUAAUACCGCAUAAUAUUAAUUAUUGCAUGAUAAUUAAUUGAAAGGUGCAAUUGCACCACUACCAGAUGGACCUGCGUUGUAUUAGCUAGUAGGUGAGGUAACGGCUCACCUAGGCGACGAUACAUAGCCGACCUGAGAGGGUGAUCGGCCACACUGGGACUGAGACACGGCCCAGACUCCUACGGGAGGCAGCAGUAGGGAAUCUUCGGCAAUGGACGAAAGUCUGACCGAGCAACGCCGCGUGAGUGAAGAAGGUUUUCGGAUCGUAAAGCUCUGUUGUAAGAGAAGAACGGGUGUGAGAGUGGAAAGUUCACACUGUGACGGGAUCGUACCAGAAAGGGACGGCGAACUACGU